UACAGGGGGUGCAAACGUUGCUCGGAAUCAUUGGGCGUAAAGCGCACGCAGGCGGUCUGUCAAGUCGGAUGUGAAAUCCCCGGGCUUAACCUGGGAACUGCAUUCGAAACUGGCAGGCUAGAGUCUUGUAGAGGGGGGUAGAAUUCCAGGUGUAGCGGUGAAAUGCGUAGAGAUCUGAGGAAUACCGGUGGCGAAGGCGGCCCCCUGGACAAAGACUGACGCUCAGGUGCGAAAGCGUGGGGAGCAAACAGG
rnacentral:rRNA from 1 species